UCUCCGUAGGUGAACCUGCGGAGGGAUCAUUACAAGUGACCCCGGUUUACCACCGGGAUGUUCAUAACCCUUUGUUGUCCGACUCUGUUGCCUCCGGGGCGACCCUGCCUUCGGGCGGGGGCUCCGGGUGGACACUUCAAACUCUUGCGUAACUAAGUCGUCGGAGUUUAAACAAAUUAAACAAAACUUUCAACAACGGAUCUCUUGGUUCGGGCAUCGAUGAAGAACGCAGC
rnacentral:misc_RNA from 1 species